UUUACACAUUUAUUCUAUCGUGACAGCACAGCUAAAAAUUAAUCAAUGUCGAUAUCACGCGGCUCUCCUUUUAUAAAAGGGCAAUAAUAUUAAUAAAGUUAACAAUAAGGAUUUGACAGCCACACGAUCAGUACAACAAGAAACGCUUCAGGUAUAUUUCAUCAUGAACGGUAAAAUUGUAUUCACCUUCACCGUUGUUGUGGUUUUAUCAGUGAUGUCGAUAGCAUCCCCUGUAUUGCCUGUCUAUGAUUUAGAUCUCAUGCCACCAGAGAUGGCUUGUCUGUAUAUCUGCAAUAUUUGCUAUGAUGGACGGGCGGAAGAGAUGAAAGCAUGUGCCAACGAUAUCUGCUCCAAACCCGGCUGCAACAUUUUAGACUACAUGAAGAUUGGCAGAGAUUGUCAAAACUACAAAACUGUAUUCGAAUACAGCACCGGAACUUUCAAAAAGCAUUGAAUAAAUAUAAAUUCAUUUAUUGUUAAUAUGCAUGCUAUCAUAUUUAUUUAUACAUUAUGUUAGUAAUAUUUAAAGAUGUAAUAUGUAAGAGCGAAAUCUGCCCAUUGCAGGUCUUUUUUUUUGGGGGGGGGGGCUUAUAAUGGUAUAUAAAUUCUCACUUAGACAUUUAUUCACACGGCAAGCAUAUAAUCAACUCUCGGGUGGCAGGGAUAUUGGGUGGAUUAAAUAUAUGCGUUAAACGUUAAAAUGGAAAAUCGAGGCUUCGUUUAUUAUCGUGGCAAUAAUACUUGACAAUCGGGACUAUUUACUUUAUUUCUUGCCAGAACUUCAACCAUUCAUAAUGUCCAUGAGCUUAAGGCAAUUUGACUGAAUUUUUCAAUAUCUUCAUUUUACGUUAUCUAUUUUUUUAAACUAUUGAUGCUAGGUUCCCACUGUGGUCCCUAUUGAGUCCACGAUUGCUACGACUGAUCUUAAUAUAUGAUAAGACCUGGUAGGAUCAGCACUAUUACCCCACGAUUUUAAUCGUAGCGCGAAUCGUGAUAGUGGGAAGUUAGCAUUAAGCAUGAACGACCACGGUUUUUUUUUUUAUCUAAAUCUUACAUAAUGCAUCUUUAAGUUUUAUGUUGUUUCGUCGUUUCUAAAAUUAUCUUAAGAUUAUUUAUUCUGUCUAUAUGGCUAUAACUUUAAAAUUACUUAAGAGAUUUAUGUAUAUUGAUUAUUUCAAGGAAUAUUAAAGGGGCGAUCCGAUAUAGCCUGGAGCCAUUUGGCUGCAGAUUGUUGUAUUCGGUUCAGUUUCUGCCUUUCUACCGCAGAAAAUUCAUUAAAUUUUUGAUGUAAACAAAUGGAAGAUAUAAAAGGGCGGUCUUUUAAAUUAAUAUCGUAUAAACUAACUUAUUUUAACGUAACGACACAAUUAUAUUUUUUUUGAUUUUUUUAUGAAUUUACGACCUGAGUAGACGGGUCCCCUAUCGCCCUGUGAUCCUUUAAAACUGCUAGAGUCGUAAAAGAAAAUCAACGAAAUAUAAAUACAGUAUUAGCAAUCAUACAGGGCAAUCAAUCAAAAUAUAUAGAUUCGAAAUAGUGAAAAAUGAAUGCCAAGUAAAGUACGGUGCCCAUUGUGUAAACGUCAACUAUUGUAAAUAAUACAAAUGAUAAUAAUGGAAACUUUAUUGGUUGGCAAGUUUCAGCUAAAUGGGGGUUUACGAUGUCUCACCUUUCAGUGAAGAAGGAAUGCGUGCCUAAACGACGAAGAGCAUGCGGAAAAUCUCCCCCAUAUAUAGCACAUUGCAUACUGUAUGCCGGUCUCGUUGCUAUGUCUGAAUUCGAGGCGACAUGACACCCGAAAACUAAAAUUGGCCCAUGUUGCUCCGGGAUAUAUUCAGUUUUGCCAAGUGUGGGGGCUAUUGACAAUUUCCAAUAAGUCAUAAUUAACCAUGCGGUCGCGCUCAAACGGGUUUAUUCCAUCUCUUAUAACCCACUAGCUUUGUUACCAGAUUGGCUUUUGUCAUUACUGGUAGCCUAUUAAUGGUUCAGUCCUGGAACACGUUAAGUAUUUAUUUUCAUUCAAGUAAUGCAAUAGAACCCCCCACCCCACCCACGCGACAUACUUCAAAUAAGCUAACAAAGACCAGGACGAGAGUGAAAGAUAAUAAUGUAUGUACAUCUACUAGAGUAUAAAUACAUCAUCAGACUGCACUAGUACGAGAACGACAGUAAACUCUCGUCCUGCUACAUAAUAGUAUGCUACUGAGCUUGGUUUAUUAUUCAGCGUCGAACCAAGUAGGGGUAGAUUGAAAUGGGCUUCGUCAUAAUUUUGUUUCCGGAGCAUAUACCACAAACUUUUCAAGAUAUUUUUAUAUUAACUGUGCCUUUUGUUUUUUUAGAAAUAUCUCAUGACAACCAAUUUGACUUGGGUUUUGGCAUAUCUCAUAAAAAAUUCAAGACAUCUUUAUGGAACUUUGUACACACAUAGACCUAUUAUAUAAUGGUCGCCCCUUUUGCUUAUCAGAAAUUUCUCGGAUUUAAUCAUUUUUGUGUCAUUGAAAUACAUUUGUCAGAGUUUUUGGUAUGCAAUUAUUAUUUCGGAACACUUCAAAAUGUCUUUAUAAAACUAGAUUUGUCUAAUGCAAGUGAGCUUUAGAUCACAGAGUCUGUCAUUAAUUCAUGCGUUGCAUGUCCAACAUCUUACGUUUUCUACAAAGAUUCCGGUUUCCCCCCCCCCCCCACCGCUAAAGACCCCUACACGCAAGCUUAUUAUUGAAAUACAAUUGUACCAUAUUUUUGUCCCGAAAUGAUCAAGUAAGAAUCAAGUUGACGUUAAACCCCAUCUCUUAAAACUUAAUGUAAUUUUUAUUUCUUUUAAACAUCUUGUAAUUAGAAAAUAAGUUUUCAGAAUUUUAAUGAUAUCCUUGAAGAGUCUUCUUGUUAUUGUUGAGAUUAGGUGUGGACUGGGCCCCCGGACAGUUGGAAAAAAAAAACUGACAUUUUUUUUCAGUGUGAAAAUAAUUGCUCUUCGCGGCCCCUGAAAUAUAUAAUGCCCCCCUAUCCCCACCAAGUCUGAGGAGUAAAAUUAAUAUUGGAGUGGGAUGCAUGAAAGAUGCAUCAAGCCAGUAUCCUUUUCUCAUUCUUCGCUGUGAUAGGGUCCAACGAAACCAGUUGAUCUACGAGCCCAGAGCUACCCAGUCCACCCCUGGUUAAGAUGGAGAUAGAAUAUAAAAUACCAUCUAGGAGACCACCUACUUGUAUGCAAAAAAAUCUAAAAAUAAUGAUUCCUUGGUUUGUUGUUUUGUGCAAACCAUUUUUCGAAAGGUAAAGAUUCAGAUUCUACAAAGGCUCUGGAACGGAUAACUUGCCAUAUCCCUUUGACCCUCUCACCAACACUAAAGCCAACUGAGAGAUCAAGGAAAAAUUCAGAUAUUUGUGAUUAGACUGACAAGAUAACAUAUGGAAACACGCCUAAUUAGAACACUAUAUUCAAAUUUACAACAUUCCAUGUGAUAAUUACCUUAUAAUUCCUGCUGGAAAAUUAAUCACAGAUUAUCACACCUGGAUUGUGACACACCACACUACAUUUUUUCUAUUAGCAAAAUUAUAACAUUUACAGAAAUAAAUACAUAAUAGUAGAAAUAAUUAUUUAUUGAUGGAAGUUGCAAGAGCGAAUCAGAUGAUAGUUAUAUAACUGAUAAUGUAAACAGUAUAUUGAAAAGAAUGUAAUGAAGUACAGGUAAUUAUAAUAUAAUGUUCUCUUGUAGAAAACUGAAAAAAGCUAACUAGAUUCUAAAUUCACAUAUCUAAUUUCUAUUAAAAUAUUAUAUUCUCUAUAUUACCAGGAAAUUAAAUGAACUAGAAGCUAAUAAGAAAUUACUAUAUAGUAUAGGUUUAGAUCAUAAUAAUCCAACACUCUUUUGAAAGUAAAUUCUUGUUAUAAAAUUCUCUAUUUUUAAAUUGAAUUAACUGUAUAAAAUCUAUCUAGCUUUGAUAAACAUUUUUAUAUAGAUACGUUCAUAGCACACAGUACAAUGGCCAAUGCAAUAUUUACUCCUGAGCAACUCUUUUAGUUGGAUAUCCAGCGAUUUAUAAAUAGAUUAUUGUUAUUAUGUUUAGUUGGAUUCAGAAACUGAUAUAAAGUAUGACAUUGAACCAGUACAAAUCAUUUUGGAAAUAAAAUAUUAAGAACAGGGGCAAAAUACAAUAGAAAGUAAAUACAUGUAUAUACAAUUGAAAUACAAUAAAAUACUAGUAUACAUAUGAACCAUGCCUUUGUACUCCUAAAGAAAAAAACUAUAUACAUGUACAUGUAUAUCCCCAGAAUUGGACUUAAUUAGCUUUCUCAAGACAGCCUAUUUCCCAAUUAGAUAUUUUCAGACAAUUUAGUUUAUUUGAAUUAAAAUUAAUUAGUAAUUUCAUAAAAAUUCAGUUGUUUUGUGCAUAAGCCCAUUUUAUCUACAUAAAUAAUAGCUUUAUAUAUAUUUAUGUCUACCUUACAUACAAAGAAUAGCCAAACAAAGACUUCCUAAUUAAAUGUUUGUUGGUUCGCGGGGCUUAACUUUCACUUCCAACAAGAGUGAUAUGGCAGACAACUAAAUAACUUGUUAUGUUUUUGCUUUGAAAGGAGUAGCCUACUCCAGCUAAUGUCAUCUAUUUAAAUUUUACUGAUUAUCUAAUAUGAAAUGGUAAUUAAAAUCAAAAUAGAGUUGUGUAGUAUUUUAAUACUAUAUAUGGAAUAAUAUACAAAUAAAGGACAAUGAGUGAAGUUCUUCUUUAAAUGACAUCACACACAAUAAGCUGUUCCAUUCAAACCAUAAUUAUCAUAAUAUAUUGGAAUGUUUUCUAUUAUUUUUAUUUAUUUUUUUAAUAAAAAAAGGUAUUUGGUUAGUUUAAGAAUCAUUGCAUAGAGAAGAAACACUUCUGAAAAAUUAAAACUGGGCAAGACAUAGGCCUAUCGACAUAUUUCUAUCAAAUCUUCACUACAAUUGAAUAUAUAUAGUUUUGGCAAAAUUCAAUAAUUUAGAGAUCUGAUUAUGUAGAUUUGUUGUUUGUGAAUUCAGUAACUUUGGGUGUGAUAAAUAUGCAUUCCAAACGAAAUGAACUUAAAAAGUAUGUGAAACUGUACUAGGUAUGCUUAAUAAAAAAGGCAUUGCCAAAAAAAACUAACCUUGUGGUAUGAUGUGAUUAGGAUAAAUCUAUUAUUAUUUCAUUUGUGAGUUUAUUUUAUUUGAAAUCUUAAUCACCUGUUGCCAUUAGUACAUUGAUUGCUAUCUUAUAUUGAAUCAGUGUAUGUAAAUGUGGCCAUUAGUUCAUUCUAUCAUAUAUCAUUUAAAUAAAGCUUAUCAAAUUAUGGGAGAAAGUGUAAUAUAUAAAGAUUAUUUAUGCGGCAAUACUAUAUACCAGAAAACACCGGAAAACAACUGGAAAACACCAUUUUAUACUGAAUACCGGAAAAAAACGGAAAAACACAAAAUACUGGAAAACACACUAAAUACCGGAAAAUACCCUAAAUAGGUAACCCGGAGACUGGCACCCUAAAUAGGUAACCGGGAGCCUGGUCCUCUGUGUGCCUGGGUUAGGGUUAGGGUUAGUUUCCGGUUUAUAGUAUAGCCCUUCUCCGGGUUACCUAUUGAGGGUGGUUUCCGGUAAUUAGUGUGUUUUCCGGUAUUUAGUGUUUUUCCGUAUUCAGUAUAACAUGGUGUUUUCCGGUAGUUUUCCGGUUGUUUUCUGGUAUAUAGUAUAGCCCUUAUUUAUGGCCUCACACGAAUGCAAAUCAAAAUUUAUAUUAAUUAACCUUAAUUUUUAGCAAUGCUUCAUUAAAAUAAGAACGCAAGGUUGGGCUGAUAUUGCUGUUUGGUUUAAGUGCUAUAAUUCAUAUACUAUUUAUAUUAGUGAUAAAUUGAUAUUAAAAAUGUGUGCAAUGCCUUGGAGUUAAGCUCGUUGUUGAGUGGGUCAGGUAGAAAAAAUAUUUGCCCCACUCCCCUUCACUCUUCUCCUACCCCAAAUACACCACUAUAACUUAAAAUGUUGGUUCUAGAAUCAAAUACAUCAUCCUGAAUCUCCCCAGCAACAAACUAUUAUAUUAUAUGUAUACAAUAUAUGGAUAACUACAUGUAUGUUGAUUUAUUUUCCUUAAUACUCUGAUAGAACAAUGAAAACAAAGGAACAAAAGAGCUAAUGAGUCAUUCAUAUCUUACUAUCAAGUUUAUCACACACAGUUAUUAACAAGAUCACCUUAUAGAUUGACUAAAGCUAAAUAACAUUAAAUAUAGAUAUAUCAAACAAACAAUAAAUAAACAGAAUUCAAUCUCAUUAUAUCUACAUACAAAAUAUAAUCAACUAAUUGGUAUUAAGAGAAAGCACCAACAUUAUAUUAAAUAUAAAUCAUGACCGUUAAAAUAAUAUUGUCUGAUUUUCACACAAUAACUCACAUUCCACAAAGCAGCCAAUUUUAAAGUAGAACCAAAACCAAAUCUCAAAUUGAAAAUAAAGCAACAUUUCAACAACCCAUGAAAAAAAAACCCUAACAAAAUAA